rnacentral:rRNA from 1 species
CGAAAGCCUGACGGAGCAAGACCGCGUGAGGGAGGAAGGCUCUUGGGUUGUAAACCUCUUUUGUCAGGGAAGAAUGACGGUACCUGAAGAAUCAGCAUCGGCUAACUCCGUGCCAGCAGCCGCGGUAAUACGGGGGAUGCAAGCGUUAUCCGGAAUUAUUGGGCGUAAAGCGUCCGCAGGUGGCUAAUCAAGUCUGCUGUCAAAGGUUGGGGCUUAACCCCAAAAAGGCAGUGGAAACUGAGAAGCUAGAGUGCAGUAGGGGUAGAGGGAAUUCCCGGUGUAGCGGUGAAAUGCGUAGAGAUCGGGAAGAACAUCGGUGGCGAAAGCGCUCUACUGGACUGCAACUGACACUCAGGGACGAAAGCUAGGGGAGCGAAUGGGAUU